rnacentral:sRNA from 1 species
ACACAAGGAAGGAGGUGGUCCGCGAAAUUGAUAGCUUCAUGGACAUGUGAGGUGGCUGCGCGCUAGCUGCGCCGGCUUUCGAAGAGCCGGCGUUAUUUGUGCGCUGGCGAAUUCCCCGUAGUCACCCGGCCCCCGAGCUUCCGGUUUUUGUCCGACCAGGAACACGGCUCGGGGGCCGCUCCAU